rnacentral:rRNA from 1 species
UUCUGGCUCAGGAUGAACGCUGGCGGCAGGCUUAAUACAUGCAAGUCGAACGGUAACGACCGGUAGCAAUACUGGGGCGACGAGUGGCGCACGGGUGCGUAACGCGUAUGCAACCUACCCUCAACCGGGGCAUAACGCCGAGAAAUUGGCGCUAAUAUCCCAUGUGUAUGGGAAGUGGCAUCACUUUCUAUAUAAAGAUCCGUUGGUUAAGGAUGGGCAUGCGUAACAUUAGCUGGUUGGCGGGGUAACGGCCCACCAAGGCGACGAUGUUUAGGGGUUCUGAGAGGAUUCACCCCCACACUGGAACUGAGACACGGUCCAGACUCCUACGGGAGGCAGCAGUAGGGAAUAUUGGGCAAUGGAGGCAACUCUGACCCAGCCAUGCCCGCGUGAAGGAAGACGGCCCUAUGGGUUGUAAACUUCUUUUGCCGCAGAGUAACCCGGGGGACGCGUCCCCCGCUGAGAGUAUGCGGCGAAUAAGUAUCGGCUAACUCCGUGCCAGCCGCGGC